AAUCAACGCUGGCGGCGUGCCUAACACAUGCAAGUCGAACGCGAAAGCCCCGCAAGGGGUAAGUAGAGUGGCAAACGGGUGAGUAACACGUGGGUGACCUGCCUUCGAGUGGGGGAUAACGUCCCGAAAGGGACGCUAAUACCGCAUGACAUCCUGCUUUUGAAAAAGCGGAGAUCAAAGCUGGGGAUCGCAAGACCUAGCGCUUGAAGAGGGGCCCGCGCCUGAUUAGCUAGUUGGUGAGGUAACGGCUCACCAAGGCGACGAUCAGUAUCCGGCCUGAGAGGGCGGACGGACACACUGGGACUGAGACACGGCCCAGACUCCUACGGGAGGCAGCAGUGGGGAAUUGUUCGCAAUGGGCGCAAGCCUGACGACGCAACGCCGCGUGGAGGACGAAGAUCUUCGGGCCGUAAACUCCUGUCGAGCGGGACGAACGCUUCGCGGAUGAAGAAUCCGCGGAAUUGACGGUACCGCUAAAGGAAGCCCCGGCUAACUCCGU
rnacentral:rRNA from 1 species